rnacentral:rRNA from 1 species
GACGAACGCUGGCGGCGUGCUUAACACAUGCAAGUCGAACGGAAAGGCCCUGCUUUUGUGGGGUGCUCGAUUGGCGAACGGGUGUGUAACACGUGAGUAACCUGCCCUUGACUUUGGGAUAACUUCAGGAAACUCGGGCUAAUACCCGAUAUGAGCUCCUGCUGCAUGGUGGGGAUUGGAAAGUUUCGGCCGUUGGGGAUGGUCUCGCUGCUUAUCAGCUUGUUUGUGGGGUAGUGGCUUACCAAGGCUUUGACGGGUAGCCGGCCUGAGAGGGUGACCGGCCACAUGGGGACUGAGAUACGGCCCAGACUCCUACGGGAGGCAGCAGUGGGGAAUAUUGCACAAUGGGCGGAAGCGUGAUGCAGCAACGCCGCGUGCGGGAUGACGGCCUUCGGGUUGUAAACCGCUUUCGACUGUGACGAAGCGUGAGUGACGGUAAUGGGUAAAGAAGCACCGGCUAACUACGUG